CCCUGAUCCAGAAUGUCUCAUUUUGAGAUCCUUAAUUAUAUUUGCAAAGACUUUAUUUUUCCAAAUAAGGUCACACUUGAAUGUCCUGGGUAA